rnacentral:rRNA from 1 species
UACGGGGGGGGCAAGCGUUGUUCGGAAUGACUGGGCGUAAAGGGCUCGUAGGCGGCCAACUAAGUCGGAUGUGAAAUCCCCGGGCUUAACCUGGGAACUGCAUUUGUGACUGCAAGGCUGGAGUGCGGCAGAGGGGGAUGGAAUUCCGCGUGUAGCAGUGAAAUGCGUAGAUAUGCGGAGGAACACCGAUGGCGAAGGCAAUCCCCUGGGCCUGCACUGACGCUCAUGCACGAAAGCGUGGGGAGCAAACAGG